GUCUUUCAAGUCCGAUGCUAAAGACUGGGGCUCAACCCCAGGGGUGCGUUGGAUACUGUGAGGCUAGACGGUCGGAGGGGGUAGCGGAAUUUCCGGAGUAGCGGUGAAAUGCGCAGAUACCGGAAGGAACGCCAAUAGCGAAGGCAGCUACCUGGACGACUUGUGACGCUGAGGCGCGAAAGCGUGGGGAGCAAACCGGAUUAGAUACCCGGGUAGUCCACGCCCUAAACCAUGAGUGCUGGGUGUCCGGCUUCUGCUGGGUGCCGUAGCUAACGCGCUAAGCACUCCGCCUGGGAAGUACGCACGCAAGUGUGAAACUCAAAGGAAUUGACGGGGGCCCGCACAAGCGGUGGAGCAUGUGGUUUAAUUCGAAGCGACGCGAAGAACCUUACCAGGCCUUGACAUGCCCGGAACCCCUCUGAAAGGAGGGGGUGCCCGCAAGGGAGCCGGGACACAGGUGCUGCAUGGCCGUCGUCAGCUCGUGUCGUGAGAUGUUGGGUUAAGUCCCGCAACGAGCGCAACCCCUAUCCCUAGUUGCCAGCAGUUCGGCUGGGCACUCUAUGGAGACUGCCUGCGAAAGCAGGAGGAAGGCGGGGAUGACGUCUGGUCCGCAUGGCCCUUACGGCCUGGGCGACACACGUGCUACAAUGCCAAGGACAGAGCGCUGCUACCUCGCGAGAGGACGCCAAUCGCAAAAACCUUGGCUCAGUUCGGAUUGGAGUCUGCAACUCGACUCCAUGAAGCCGGAAUCG
rnacentral:rRNA from 1 species